AGUGGAACAGUCUCCCUCAAGAGGUGGUGGGAUCUCCUUCCUUGGAAGUAUUUAAAGAGAAGUUGGAUGGCCAUCGGCAGGCCAGAUUUCAGCUGGAUGAGGCUCUAAGCUAUUGAAAGUCAUGGGGCCCUUGAUAUGUCCAGCUGUCCUUUGUCAACAACAAAUGGGCGCUGUUUUUUGUGUGUUCAAUAUCUGCUAUUUGAUCAUCGAUGGACCUAAUCGGUAUCUCAAGCCAUUUGCACAUAACAAAAUAUGUAUUUUAUCAAAGUAAUUGUUGAAAAGUCCAUGCAGAAUGUAGGCACCCUAUAUAUAGAAAGGAGCAAACCAGUGAUAUUUGAGGGAGCAGGCGGGGCCCAUGACUUACAUCAUAGGAGCCUACACAACACAAAACACAGUUGCUGUGUGUAGGUUUUAUUUUAUUUGUUUUUUAUCUUAUAUUUUGGAAAUGUACAUCCAGUUUGUUUUUCCUUUAAUUUUUUUAUUGGGGGGGGCUGAGACAGACCUGAAAUGUGCCUUUAUUUCCUCCCUUUUUUCUUCUUGCUUCCUUCAGCCUUUUAGGAAUUAUCGGUACGGAGAUCCCAAAUGACCAGAGGAAACUGUUCCUGUAUGCGACAACAGCCGCCCAGAUGCUAUUAGCCCAGAGAUGGAAGGAAGAAACACUCCCAACCAGAGAAGAAUGGCAAAUCCAGUGGAUGGACUCUGCCGAAAUGGCAAAAUUAACUGGGAAGCUCAGAAGCAAGAAGACAAGAAAUUUUAAAAAGAGAAUGGGAAAUGUUCACGAUGCAAAAUCAUUGUAAACAGGUCAAAACAUUAGCAGGAUUUUAAACACACUUGUAAUUUAACAGAAUGCACAGAUGAUUUAGGAAGAUGAAGAAAUGGAGAAGUAUUGAUACGCAGUUGAAAAUAGACUCAAUAGGACCACGGAAGGGAUGGGGGGGGAGGAGUCAGGAGAUUCAGAGUAAAUUCAAUAUUUGGAUUUAGAAUUGUUUUCGAUUUUGGAAAAUCAAAUAAAAAAUUAUUUCACACACAAAAUGCAAACUUGCUGGAGACGGG